UUCAGAGCUUAUAUGAACCCUAAAUAUCAUAGCUUCUGAAGCAUAGUUAGAAAGCGUGUGUAGAUGAAGAGGUAAUACAAUGUUGGUCUUCAUCGUGUUGGUCUUUCUUCUAAUCGCAUUCUUAUGCACUUGGAAAUGCCCGUUAUGAAUUAAUGGCUAUGAGUUAUUAAGCAAUUGACUACUACAAUGGGGAUUAUGUCAUCGACUCUGAUAAGGAUGAUCGGCACCGGCAGCAAUGACAGAUUAACAUAUCCAUAAAUUUUACUGCAACAAAAUUUAUGGAUCUUUGUGUGCAGGUUUACCAUAUUUAUAGAGAAGGCAAAUCUUACAGAGACUGGAUAGCUCACCAUGGAGGAACUUUGCCUAUGGUUGUUCAUAUUUUUGGAGGAUCACCUUAAGGAAUAAUUAGGCUUUUCUGCAUGAUAAUGUGUGGAUUUCAUAAAUUUUGUAAUAGCUACAUCUUGUUUAUUUUCUCUUUUUCUUUUUUUUUUUCUUUAAGAAAAAAUGACGUGUAUAAGUCAUUUGCUUCCUGUUUAACUAAUAAAAAAAUGGUAUGGUGUGAAUAAAAGCCUUUAAAGGUACAUAUGUUA